rnacentral:rRNA from 1 species
AACGAACGCUGGCGGCAGGCCUAACACAUGCAAGUCGAGCGAGGACUUCGGUCCUAGCGGCGGACGGGUGAGUAACGCGUGGGAACGUGCCCUUUGCUUCGGAAUAGCCCUGGGAAACUGGGAGUAAUACCGGAUGAGCCCUUUGGGGGAAAGAUUUAUCGGCGAAGGAUCGGCCCGCGUUGGAUUAGGUAGUUGGUGGGGUAAUGGCCUACCAAGCCGACGAUCCAUAGCUGGUUUGAGAGGAUGAUCAGCCGCACUGGGACUGAGACACGGCCCAGACUCCUACGGGAGGCAGCAGUGGGGAAUCUUAGACAAUGGGGGAAACCCUGAUCUAGCCAUGCCGCGGGAGUGAUGAAGGCCUUAGGGUUGUAAAGCUCUUUCAGCUGGGAAGAUAAUGACGGUACCAGCAGAAGAAGCCCCGGCUAACUCCGU